AAGAAAUUAGUUUAAAUAAAACAUUAGACUGUCAGACUAAAAUUAUUAGCUAUAAUAUUUCUUA
rnacentral:tRNA from 1 species